AUAAAGUGGUAGACGAACACCGCGAAUUUAUGGAUGAUGUUAAGAGAAGCUCUGCCUACAGCUUAUUCGUGGGAACAAGAUGGACUUGACCGUCAACUGUCGAACGUAUUGAACUCACUGAAGGAAUCUCAAGAGUAUUACUUCUUUGGAGUAAGAAAGAACUCGACCGAUGACGGUAAAAUUUUCUUCGAAAUCACACAGACGGCAGUACAACUCUUGUCCAUGUAGUGAUGAUUGUCUCACUUACAUUACUUGUAUUAUUAUUAUUUUUAUUAACCAUUCCUAGUUGAUUUAGUACCAUAAGCUGUUGAAGCCCAGUCUUGUACAGAAGUAAACGUUAAUAGUUUA